rnacentral:lncRNA from 1 species
UUUUUUUUUUUUUUUUUUUUUUCUUUUCUUUUUGUCUCAUAAACUUUUUGGAAGGUUGGACAUUUAAAAUAAUAUAACUCAGGAGUGCCUGGCUGGCUCAGUUUGUUAAGUGUCUGCCUUUGGUUGGGAUCAUGAAUCCAAGGUCCUGGGAUUGAGCCCCACAUUGGGUUCCCUGUUUGAUGGGCAGCCUGCUUCUCCCUCUCCACCACUGGUGUGCACUCUCUCUCUCUCUCUCUAUCUCUCUCUCUAAUACAUAAAAUGUUUUAAAAAUAAAUAAAAGAAUAUAAUACAUCAACACUGGAGAUCAGAUAUCUCUCUGACCACUGUUUGUUGUUUCUGUUUGUUAUUGUUGAAAUUAUUGUUGCUAUUUGUUUAGGGACUUUUCUAAUCCUAUUCUGUAAGAUCCAUAUUCUUUUUAAUGCAUGAUAAGCUUAAUGGUCAGCUAAUAGAUGGGCAUAUUUUUUUCUUUUAAGAUGCCUCAACAAAAAAUCUCUUCCAGGCUUUGCUGAAGAGAUUUCUGUGUAUGGUGAGCCAUAUCUUCACUUUGCCAGCUAUUUACAACUCUUUAUAGCUUUCACUCCUUGUUUGUGCAGAGCCAGAAGAGCAACCAUAGGUGAGAGACUAGGGCCUUUGUAGGUCUUUCCCAAGAAUAAGUACACCUCUACACAUGUGCAUGUCUUUUAUAUUCCCAGGGAGAUAUGUGAGUUUUUCAAAGCCCCGAUGGACAUCACAUUUUCCAAUUGUUAGUUUAAUUUUUUUUUAUUUUCAUCCUUUUUGCCCCAACUCUUAUUCCUGCUUGAAGCAGCUGCAAUGUUAAACAACUGCUUUGAUUGUUUUUGACAAGUGUCCCUGGAGAAAGGUUUUCUGCACUGAAUGAGUUCUGAACCAGGUCAAAUAAUGACAAGACCUAGAAGUGGGAGUUCCUAGAGAGCCAACAGACAGGUCAAAUCAUGACAACUCCCUAGGAAUAAGUCUCUUUGUGGAGCUCCAAAUAGAUUUUGACCACUCCAGUGGCUUCUAGGCUACUGUUUUUCAGAACUACCAUGGAUGGCAAAACUGCUCAUUUUUAAAGCUCUGUCAAAGCUGGAAAGAUGGGAAUGAGAAUGUGGCAAGUUAAAUGACAGAGCUCGUGUUCUUACUGAAAGUCAGGUAUUUUUUUUCUCCUGAAUAAGUGCUCCUUGGAUUGUUGCAAGCCUUUGUUUAAUUUCCCAAGUUCUACAAAUGUUGAUUCAAUCAUUUUUGUUCAUGUUCGCCUUGCUUUUAUUAAGUAGUAGAAUUUCAGAGGUAUUUACUACACCAUUCCAGAAAUACUUCUCUUUCUCCUUAGCAUUUUACAGCUACCAAAGUCAAGACUUUAUGUGUUUUAUCUCAUCAUAUACAUUAUACAUUAUCAAGUAAUCUUUGUUGAGUACUCCAACCCUGGUCAGAGCCUCUUUUUUCAGAGGUAUCUUUGAAUCCUUUAAAAUUUUUAAGUGUAACCAUAAUUUUCAACUUGUUUUCUGCCAUCAAAGGACAAGUACAACUGCUACCAAAUGUUAAUGUGUUUAAUAGAGAUAAAAUAAAGUAGAAGUUUAACCAAAUAGAACACACAAAUUUGAAAUUUUUAAUCAAACAUAUAGUAUGAGGCUGGAGGGUUGUGCCUUAUAAAUGAUAGAUUCUGUCCUUUAGAACUUUUUGUCCUUAAGAGCAAUGUUUGAUACCUUUAAUCACUGUGGAUCUAGACCUUUCCUACCCCUUUACAUGCUCAUUUAUAGACACAUAAAUUCAUUGUUGAUAAUCAGCAAUGUUAGCAAUGAUGACCAAGGACCUGUACUGAUGGCUAGAUUUCACCUUGCUAAGACAUAAAGCUGAUAAUGCAAUAGAUUGAGCUGAUGAUUAAAUAAUUAACCUAUUAAUUAAUAGAUGCACUAGGAUAGAAACAAAACUGGAAGGUCUUAGGUGAAGGAACAACAACCAGAAAAAUGUUAUAACUACAUGCUAUAGUAGUUAUAACAUGGGUUAUAACUACAUGUUAAUAGUACAAACUUAGGUUUUAGAAAGUUGUGGAAUUGAAUCUGGCUCCACCAUUCAUCAGUUCUGUGACUUGAGGAAGUCACUUUACCACACAAAGCCUCUGAUUCUUCUCUGUAAAUGAAAUAACACCGACUUUAUCAGGCUAUUUUGCAGAUUGAGCGAGUCAAUGAAUUUAUAGCACUUACUGUAGUAUAUAUCUAAUCCCUUAGCAAAUGAUAAUACUAGGAAGCAACCAGAAUAUUCCCAUCCCUAAACAGAUUGGCUCACUGCAGCUAUAUGAGUAUGUUUCCAUUUUGAAAAACAAGGUAUGGUUCAAAAGUGAGAGUACUUACUGCCUGUGGGUAGUCUCCUGUCUCUCACCAUAGAGACAUGCCCCAAGCUGAUUCAUAUCCAUUAAUCUCUCUCAUGUAUGCCCCAUGCUACCCUCCUAUAAACCACAGACUUCCAGGAAACAUGCCAUUCAUUCACUCAUGCCUCUAUUCUCGUGGUCAACAUUUAUUGGGCAUGUUACACAUGCCGGGCACUAGUCUUGGCAUUAGUAUAUGGUGAUGAGCAAGCAGACAAGAUUCCUGCCCUCAUGGGCAGUAACUUCAAAUAGGGGAUGGGGGUAGAUUCUGGUGACUCCAAUAGAGUAGUAGAGACUAAAAAACCUAAGGCGGUAUUACUUGACACUUUGAUAGCUUAAGUUCUUCCACGAUCCAGAUUUCACCCAGGAGAACCUCCCCACACACAUCAGUGGGAUUUUAAAUUCUGAGUGAAGAUCAUGAGAUAGAUGUUUCUACUAUUCCUGUCAGAGGCUUAUUAUGCAGUCUCUUUAGCAAGGAGUAUCCUGUCCUAGCUUCAUAUGAUUCAAGAAACAGAGAUUCUCACUUUGGUAGAAGAGAUGAUGGUGUGACCCUAGAGCUGGCAGGGGUGGCAUCAGCUUCCCAAUUCCAAACUUUGUACAGUGACAAACACACAGUGGCAAAUUCUGUUGUGUCAUUCUGAGCAUUAGCUCAGAAGCUCUGUCUGCCUCCCAAGUCCUACAAGAUUGUGUAUGUCCCCUAAAACCAGUAUGAAAUCCCUUCCUCCUUAAACCAGCUGCAAGGGAUUACAUUAUCUGUUACUGACUUCAGAGCACUACAGGGAAAUAAAUCGUAGAAAGAUAAAUAAAUAAACAAGGCACACAUUCCCUGUAAGAAGUGCUCUAAAAGAAGGGUGAUGUAAGAAGAGGAAAGGUUUUUCUGAGGGAGUGGCCCCAAUGUCUCCUUGAGCAAGUUAACUGAAACAGAGACCUAAGGAAGGGAAGGGCUAAGAGAAGAAGACAGGGAAAGAGAUUUCCAGAUCAAGCAAACAUCAGGAGCAGAGGCCCAGAUUCGGAAAAGAAUUCCUUGUAUUCCAUCCUCAGCAAGAACAGCAGUGUGACUGGAAGUUGAGAACAAAUGGUACAAGAUGAGACUAGAAACCUAAGCAGAUUCUAUAGCUGCUCAGAGUGUGACCAGCAGCAGACUGGGCCACAACUAUUUGCUGAGGAUCCAUAAUGAGAUUAGCCCAAAAUAUAAGAGUAAAUGUUAGAAAAUUUGUACCAAUUUGAUAUUGUCACAGCAGUCGAGCAACACUUCUAUCACAUUUAAUAAAGCUAUCAGUCAAGAACACACUGGAAAUUUGAACAAAAACAAAAAACUGGUCCUUCACCACAGAGAGUUUGAGAAGCACUGUUCUCCAUGUCUUACCUCUCAAAUUUACCUGCGAAGGGCCAGGUAGUAUAUGUCUCAGGCUUUGGUGGGCUGUAGGGACUCUAUUGCAACUACCCACCCUUGCCGUGGUAGCACAAAAGUGGCCACAGGCAGUAUGUAAAUAUAGAGGCAUGGCUGUGUUGCAAUAAAACUUUAUUUAUAAAAAUACAGCAUAGGCAGAUUUGGGGCCUGUCAUGCGGUAGUUUAUCAACCCUGUUCUAGGCCACAGUAAGGAGACUGUUGUACCCAAUAAAGCCAUAAAUACAGCCGCUUAACCAUUGUAUGUUAAUUAUGCUUUGAUUUAAAAAAAAAAAAAACCCUUCCUGCUUUAUUGAGAUCAUCCCUCACUCUUGAUCCUUUCCCAUCAUGCCUGCAAGUAUUUGUAAAGUCUUUGCUUCCAUGACUCUGAGUCAGAAACAAAUCUUGGGGCUCCUCCUAGCUCCAAAUCAGCAUUCUCCUCAUGGUGACCCUGGAAAUGAAGUCUCUGUUUAAGGGCAGGGUCCCCUUUUGUCUAUUACCUGCAUCCUCAAGGAAUGAAGAUGACAAGUUUCACCCUGUGUUGUCCUGAUGAGCCAACCUACGGCCCCAAGGGGUCACAGCCUUACAUUCUCCAGGACCUGGUCAAACCUAGGUCCACGUUGCUCUCUGAGUCAUUAGGCCACCUCAGAGCCAAUUUCCUGCAGCAUACUACCCCAUUUUUCUUCUGUACAAAGUUAGAUUUCUAAGUCCCAAUGUACUUCUGUGGCCACUGCCCAUCUCUGGCUCUUUUGGUAUGUCUGAAAUGGUUGUGUUGGACAAGCGGCCCACCACAUGUGUAGCCUUGUUUUCCUCUGGGCUCAGACACUGCCACAGGCAGGAAAGCUUUCUGCAUUCACACAUGUCUCCAUUUACACAGCACCCACUUCAUAAACACCGCCCAACCCCCGUACAGUAGAAGGCGUUAUUCUCUCCCCCACCUGGAGCAUAGACCGCUGUAUGAGGAGGUGCACUCCUUCCAGUAGGUCUCACACACAGAGGGUAUAGAGCGGACGCAGUUCUCGCUGAAAUCUCUUUUAUUUAAGAUUUCUUUCACUGACUCAUGACAAACUUAACGGGUAAAAAAAAAAAAAAAAAAAAA